UACGUAGGGGGCGAGCGUUGUCCGGAAUCAUUGGGCGUAAAGCGCGUGUAGGCGGCCCGGUAAGUCCGCUGUGAAAGUCCAGGGCUCAACCCUGGGAUGCCGGUGGAUACUGUCGGGCUCGAGUCCGGAAGAGGCGAGUGGAAUUCCUGGUGUAGCGGUGAAAUGCGCAGAUAUCAGGAGGAACACCAAUGGCGAAGGCGGGAUCCUGGGCCAGUACUGACGCUGAGGAGCGAAAGCGUGGGGAGCAAACAGG
rnacentral:rRNA from 1 species